rnacentral:rRNA from 1 species
AUGCUUGUGAAUUUUACGGUCCAGUUCGUUGUGCCGAUGUCUCCUCUGGUCCAUCUGCUCGCUCUGCUCUUCCUUCUCUGCUCGUCUCUGGCUUUGGCUUCCGGGUCCGAGCCAACCCUUUCAUGGGCCUGUGGAGAUGAACAAGCUUCCAUCUUGGAGACCUCUGAUGGCCGUCAAAACCUGUCCAUCAAUGGGGUUUUGGUGAAGGACCGUGCUCAAGGCUGCGACAGGCUCCGGUCCUACUUUGGGAGUGGUUGCCUCAGCUGCGAUGAGCGGUCGCAAUCUUGGAGGAGUGCGUGGAUGCGCUACUGUGGCGAUGAUGGGAGUCAAUCGAGCUAUGUAACUUCAACUCCAAACAUACCAAGGAGGCUUUUGAAGCAGUCGUCAGAGAAUGGCGCAAAAGCUGAAGAUGACCCAUGUAGGAACAUGGGUCUACACGAAAAUAAACAUGAUGCCAAUGAUUCUUCCGAAAAAGAGGAUCCUCUGUUGGCUGUGCCAGGUGUGCUUCUCAUAUGCUGUGGUCUCAUGCUCCCAUGUUUUCACGCCGAAAGAAAAGAAGGAAGAAGACACAAUACUACAUCCAUUCAGCGCAAUGCUGUUGAUUCUCUUUCAUCCUUCGACGUAAGCACAUCAUCCGAGAAGAUCCCACCAACUCCACAUCGAAUACCUCCAAGCCCAUCUAGAUUCGCACCGUCUCCACAUAUUGCUCGAGUUGGAUCUGUUGACUUAAGUGUCCAGCAGAUUCUCAGGGCGACUCAGAAUUUCUCACAUUCAUUUAAAUUGGGUGAAGGAGGAUUUGGGACUGUCUACAGGGCUGUAUUGUCAGAUGGCCAGGUUGUUGCAGUCAAGAGAGCUAAAAAGGAUCAGUUUGCGGGUCCCAGUGAUGAGUUCAGCAAUGAAGUAGAACUGCUUGCUAAGAUUGACCACCGGAAUUUGGUGAGAUUACUGGGUUAUACUGAUAAAGGAAAUGAGCGGAUUAUUAUCACUGAGUAUGUUCCAAAUGGCACUUUGAGAGAACAUCUCGAUGGCCAACAUGGCAGAACCCUGGAUUUUAAUCAACGCCUAGAAAUUGCGAUUGAUAUUGCUCAUGCACUCACUUAUCUCCAUCUAUAUGCAGAGAAGACAAUAAUCCAUCGCGAUGUGAAGUCAUCAAAUAUACUUCUAACAGACAGCUACCGGGCCAAGGUGUCGGACUUCGGGUUUGCUAGAAGUGGCCCUAGUGACACAGAGAAGACACACAUCUCCACGAAAGUGAAAGGAACUGCUGGCUACCUGGACCCUGAGUACCUAAGAACGUACCAGCUCACUCCUAAAAGUGAUGUCUUCUCUUUUGGCAUACUUCUUGUAGAAAUUAUUUCUGCCCGUCGACCUGUAGAGCUGAAGCGGGCCGCUGAAGAGAGGAUUACUAUCAGAUGGACUUUCAAGAAAUUCAAUGAAGGCAACAUGAGAGAGAUACUGGACCCGCUGCUGGAAGACCGCGUGGACGAGGAGGUGUUGGAGAAGCUUCUGAGUUUGGCGUUCCAGUGCGCCGCUCCCACGCGGGAGGACCGUCCGACCAUGAAGGAGGUCGGGGAGCAGCUGUGGGAGAUCAGGAAAGAGUAUGGGAAGAGCGUCAGGAGAGCGUGA